AAAAAAAGAAAAUGGCAAAGUGUCGAAACUCUGCUUCAACUUCAGUCUCUAGCAAAAGCUCCAUGACAUCAACCAAAAGGGUAAAAUUAGCGGAGAAAGUAAAGGCAGGUGGAGUGAAGCAGAGUAAACCCACAUCAGGGAAGAAGAAGAAGACAGCAAAAACAGAUGCAAAGAAGCCUAAGAAGCCCCCAACUGCCUUCUUCUAUUUCUUGGAGGACUUCCGCAAGGAAUUCCAGGAGCAAAAUCCAGACGUCAGGUCAAUGCGAGAUAUUGGGAAAGCUUGUGGAGAGAAGUGGAAAAUUAUGACAUAUGAGGAAAAAGUGCAUUACUAUGAUAUAGCUACAGAGAAACGAAGAGAGUUUGAUAGAGCCAUGACGUACUUCAACAAGAAAAAGGAAGGUGGAGAAUUUCAAGAAUAUGAAGAAGACUCCGAUUUUGAUGAAUAGUAUCAUGCCUUGUUUGUAAUCUUCAGUUUGAGAUGAUCGGUAGUGUGUAUUUUGGUAUUAUUUCUGUACAUCCAACUUAUCUAUCUAGUCUCGCGACUUCAUGUCUUGGCACCUUUGAUGACUGAAAAAGCCUCCUUUCCCCAAUCGAGGCAGAAUCCACUUGGUGCUCAAUUAUGGGUUCUGUAUGUACAUUAUUAGCCUUGACAGCACUUGAAAGUAGAUUAUUCCAUGCAGGUUUUCUGCAUAAGUGCUGCACUAUUUAUUCUAGUAAAGCAAUCCUUCUCUUUGAGUGUAUAUUUAACUUUCAGAUGGCUGCACUGCGU
rnacentral:misc_RNA from 1 species